rnacentral:rRNA from 1 species
UUGCGUAGGCGGUUUGUUAAGUAGAUAGUGAAACCUGGUGGCUCAACCAUACAGACUAUUAUCUAAACUGGCAAACUCGAGAAUGGUAGAGGUAAUUGGAAUUUCUAGUGUAGGAGUGGAAUCCGUAGAUAUUAGAAGGAACACCAAUGGCGUAGGCAGAUUACUGGACCAUUUCUGACGCUAAGGCACGAAAGCGUGGGGAGCAACC